CCAUCAGACAGCACAGAACAUGGUGGGAUUGUUUUGUGGCUUUGCAUUGUGAGCAGCUGCCUCAGAGGCUGCUCGGGUGGGGAUUUACACCCAUUUACACACACACACCCAUUUACACCCAUUGACACCCACUUACACCCAUUUACACACAUUGACACCCACUUACACACAUUGACACCCACUUACACCCAUUUACACCCACUUACACCCACUUACACCCAUUUACACCCAUUGAUACCCACUUACACCCACUUACACCCAUUUACACACACACCCAUUUACACACACUUACACACAUUGACACCCACUUACAUUCACUUACACCCACUUACACCCAUUUACAC
rnacentral:lncRNA from 1 species